AUUUAAAAUAAAUUCUAUGUUUGUAAUCGAUUUGAAUAAAAGAUUAUGUCAAAUUGCCCCAAGAAAUCCCUACCUACCGUUUUCGUUGUUUUAAAUCCAAAACCUGUUUUCAUUCUUUCCUCGCGUUUCCCUAUGAAACCCUCUCUUCUUUCUUCUUCCGUAAUUUUAUUUCUUUCUGUGAUGAAUACUUUCUCGUUAUCUGGUCAUCUCUUGUUCUCGGUCCUUUAGCCAUGGGA
rnacentral:misc_RNA from 1 species